UACGUAGGGGCCUAGCGUUGUCCGGAUUUAUUGGGCGUAAAGGGUGCGUAGGCGGCGCGGUAAGUCGGGUGUGAAAUCUCGGAGCUUAACUCCGAAACUGCAUUCGAUACUGCCGUGCUUGAGGACUGGAGAGGAGACUGGAAUUUACGGUGUAGCGGUGAAAUGCGUAGAUAUCCGGAGGAACACCGGUGGCGAAGGCGGCUUCCUGGACCGACACUGACGCUGGAGGCGCGAAAGCGUGGGGAGCAAACAGG
rnacentral:rRNA from 1 species